GGGCCCGUGGCCUAGCAUGGAAAGGCGCCGGCCUGCGGAGCCGGAGAACCCGGGUUCAAAUCCCGGCGGGCCCGCCA
rnacentral:tRNA from 1 species